UGAAUACGAGACGCUAAGGCGUCGAAGUAGUGUAUGUCAUACUUCCAAGAAAAGCUUGCACUGUCAUAAGUAAAAAAUGCCUGUACCAUAACCGACACAGGUGGGUAGGUAGAGUAUACUAAGGGGCGCGAGAUAACUCUCUCUAAGGAACUCGGCAAAAUAACUCCGUAACUUCGGGAGAAGGAGUACCUUAUUCUAUAAGGUUGCAAUAACAAGAUCCAAGCAACUGUUUAUCAAAAACACAGGUCUCCGCUAAGUCGUAAGACGAUGUAUGGGGGCUGACGCCUGCCCAGUGCCAGAAGGUUAAAGAAGUCGGUUAGCAUUAGCGAAGCUGGUAACUGAAGCCCUGGUGAACGGCGGCCGUAACGAUAACGGUCCUAAGGUAGCGAAAUUCCUUGUCGGGUAAGUUCCGACCCGCACGAAAGGCGUAAUGAUUUGGAUACUGUCUCGGAGAGGGGCUCGGUGAAAUAGACUUGUCUGUGAAGAUGCGGACUACCUGCACCAGGACAGAAAGACCCUAUGAAGCUUUACUGUAACUUGAAAUUGAAAUUGGACUUUAUUCGCGCAGUAUAGGUGGGAGGUGUUGAUUAUAAUCUUGCGGGAUUAUUGGAGCCAUCAGUGAGAUACCACUCUUGUAAUGUUAGAUUUCUAACUUUGAAUCAUUAUCUGGUCAAAGGACAGUUUCAGGCGGGCAGUUUGACUGGGGCGGUCGCCUCCCAAACGGUAACGGAGGCGUACAAAGGUUUCCUCUGAACGGGUAGAAAUCGUAUCUAGAGUGUAAAGGCAUAAGGAAGCUUGACUGUGAGACCUACAAGUCGAACAGGGACGAAAGUCGGUCUUAGUGAUCUGACGGUACUGAGUGGAAAGGCCGUCACUCAACGGAUAAAAGUUACUCUAGGAUAACAGGCUGAUCUCCCCCAAGAGUUCACAUCGACGGGGAGGUUUGGCACCUCGAUGUCGGCUCAUCGCAUCCUGGGGCGGUAGUACGUCCCAAGGGUUGGGCUGUUCGCCCAUGAAAGCGGUACGCGAGCUGGGUUCAGAACGUCGUGAGACAGUUCGGUCCAUAUCCGGUGUAGGCGUUAGAAUAUUGAGAGGAGCCUUCUUUAGUACGAGAGGACCGAGAAGGACAUACCUCUGGUGUACCAGUUAUCGUGCCAACGGUAAACGCUGGGUAGCUAUGUAUGGAGUGGAUAACCGCUGAAAGCAUCUAAGUGGGAAGCCCACCUCAAGAUAAGUAUUCUCAUU
rnacentral:rRNA from 1 species